CGGCGAAAGGGUGAGUAACACGUAACCAACGUACCCUGCGGAUCGGAAUAACCUCUGGAAACGGUGGGUAAUGCCGAAUGGUCCCCCGGAAGACAUCUUCCGGCGGGUAAACGGUGGCUUCGGCUGCUGCUGCGGGAGCGGGUUGCGGCCUAUCAGCUUGUUGGUGGGGUAACGGCCUACCAAGGCAAUGACGGGUAGCGGGUCUGAGAGGAUGAUCCGUCACACUGGGACUGAGACACUGCCCAG
rnacentral:rRNA from 1 species